AAAGAGGAAGAGGUGGCUAACUCCGUGCCAGCAGCCGCGGUAAUACGGAGACCUCGAGCGUUACUCGGAUUUACUGGGCGUAAAGGGUGAGCAGGCGGCCAGGUGUGUUAGGUGUGAAAUCCCGGGGCUUAACCCCGGAACUGCGCCUAAAACUACCUGGCUAGAGUCUCGGAGAGGACAGUGGAAUUCUAGGUGUAGCGGUGAAAUGCGUAGAUAUCUAGAGGAACACCAGUGGCGAAGGCGACUGUCUGGACGAGAACUGACGCUCAAUCACGAAAGCGUGGGUAGCGAAAGGGAUUAGAUACCCCUGUAGUCCACGCCGUAAACGUUGUGCACUAAGUUUCGGAGGAUUCGACCCCUUCGGAGCUCAAGCUAACGCGUUAAGUGCACCGCCUGAGGACUACGGCCGCAAGGCUAAAACUCAAAUGAAUUGACGG
rnacentral:rRNA from 1 species